GCUUGGUAAAAGGAGGGUUUGCUUCAACUGUCAAGAUAUUAUAAUUUAUGGAUUGAGGUAGAAGAAAUACUUGACAAUGACACUUCCAAAAGCGAAACAAAAUGCAAUCGUGACAGAGGAUAAACAACGACGCCAGGUUCAAGAUAGAUUGAUGAAAUUCAACGUAUUUAAAGCACCUAGCGUACACUAGAGAGUUGAUGAGGACUCGAUGACCAAUGAAAACACAAAUGAUUCCAAAAGAAAUAUCGAUGAAUCACAUAUACAUUUUGCAAGCUCGUUGGCUCACGUGAUAUAUAGGUGUGUGAACCUCUCGUGAUGUUGCUGAAGAUAUGUAAAAAUUAUUACCAGUGUCCGUUUCUUUAGGACGAGAAAUCUGGUUUCGAAAGUGAAAAGGAAGCAAUCAUCACAGGAGAUUUGCAAAAAGAUACAAAGUGCACUCUGCAAAUUUUGCGUAUGCAGAUGUUGUAUUGUAAGAAGAGUACUCUAAGAAUGUUAUUGACGAGGGAUAGUACAUAGACCAACAGAGAAUGUGGCGGCUUCUCCGUGAGAUUAUAGAAGGAUUAGUUCACGUUCAUUCACAGACGUCUACCUCCGGAGAUCGGUAACCAAUGCUUAGCACAGCAGCUUAGUGGACAUCCUUUUAUCCCUUCAAAUGUCAUU